AGGAGGAACAGCCCCAGUGGCGGGGCAGCUCUGGAAACCUGGAUUCAGCCCCUGCAGGAACUCCGGAGCUCUCCGUCUGCAGGGCCUGGAGGCUCGGGGGCGGG
rnacentral:pre_miRNA from 1 species